CCGUUCCCUGCAUUAUUCAAAUGUGAUUAGAAUUCAAAUAUGAAAGGAGGGUAUUAUUUAAAUUUUAUUAUUAAAUUUUUCAACGAAAUAUGUACGGAGAGUAUUAUUCAAAUGUGUAGUAGAGUAUCACUUAACCCUGACACUAUACCACUUAACCCCAUAUAAUAUAAUGAUAACUUAAAUUAGGACACUUUUGAAGCCAAAGUAUUUGAUUUAUUAGAAAAUAUGCAACACAAGUAGGAAUAAUGAAAUAUGGGUAGGAAGUUUCUCCAGAAACAGAGCACACGUGAUUUGCAAAACAUAUUAUAUGAUGUUCACAUCUUUGAAUCUUUUGGCAGUUGUUCAAUCUUUACCUCGAUUUGUAACAAGAACUUGGUCUCCCUCCGGCUUACAUGUAUACAUCAACCGGAAGUUUUUUUCUUUUUUGAAAGAGCAUCAAUUGGAAAUUCCAUAUCAAUG
rnacentral:lncRNA from 1 species